rnacentral:rRNA from 1 species
UACGUAGGGGGCAAGCGUUGUCCGGAUUUAUUGGGCGUAAAGAGCGUGUAGGCGGCCAACUAAGUCAUACGUGAAAUCCCUCGGCUUAACCGGGGAACUGCGUCUGAUACUGGAUGGCUUGAGUUCGGGAGAGGGAUGCGGAAUUCCAGGUGUAGCGGUGAAAUGCGUAGAUAUCUGGAGGAACACCGGUGGCGAAGGCGGCAUCCUGGACCGAUACUGACGCUGAGGAGCGAAAGCCAGGGAGCAAACGGG